rnacentral:rRNA from 1 species
GGGGGGUGGCGGGGGGGGGGGGGGGAGGGGGGGGGGGGGGGGGGGGGGAGGAGGGGCGUGGGGGUACGGGGGGGGAGGGGGGGGCGGGUGGGGGAGAGAGCGGGGUGGACGUGUUCGUGGGGGGUAGCGUAGGGCAACUUAGGGUAGUACCGCAUAGGGCCUCCGGGUGAAAGCAGGGGAUCUUCGUACGUUGCGCGAGUGCCUGAGACGCUGGAGGAUUAGCUAGUUGGCGGGGUAAAGGCCCACCAAGGGAACGAACCGUAUCUGGUCUGGGAGGAUGAGCAGCCACGCUGGAACUGAGACACGGUCCAGACUCCUACGGGAGGCAGCAAUUGGGAACAUUGGACAAUGGGCGCAAGCCUGAUCCAGCCAUACCGCGUGGGUGAAGAGGACCUUCGGGUUGUAAAGCCCUUUUGUUGAGAAAGAAAAGCAGCAGGUUACUACCCCGCUGUUCUGACGGUACCCAAAGAAUAAGCACCGGCUAACUUCGUG